rnacentral:rRNA from 1 species
GAUGAACGCUGGCGGCGUGCCUAAUACAUGCAAGUCGAGCGAACGGACGAGAAGCUUGCUUCUCUGAUGUUAGCGGCGGACGGGUGAGUAACACGUGGAUAACCUACCUAUAAGACUGGGAUAACUUCGGGAAACCGGAGCUAAUACCGGAUGAUAUUUUGAACCGCAUGGUUCAAAAGUGAAAGACGGUCUUGCUGUCACUUAUAGAUGGAUCCGCGCUGCAUUAGCUAGUUGGUAAGGUAACGGCUUACCAAGGCAACGAUGCAUAGCCGACCUGAGAGGGUGAUCGGCCACACUGGAACUGGGACACGGUCCAGACUCCUACGGGAGGCAGCAGUAGGGAAUCUUCCGAAAUGGGCGAAAGCCUGACGGAGCAACGCCGCGUGAGUGAUGAAGGUCUUCGGAUCGUAAAACUCUGUUAUUAGGGAAGAACAUAUGUGUAAGUAACUGUGCACAUCUUGACGGUACCUAAUCAGAAAGCCACGGCUAACUACGUG